rnacentral:rRNA from 1 species
GAACGCACAUUGCGCCCCUUGGUAUCCCGAGGGGCAUGCCUGUUCGAGCGUCAUU